rnacentral:lncRNA from 1 species
AUCACUCUCCUUCUCCUCUUAGCCCAAAUCUCUAAUAGAGUGGAUGGAAAUAAAAUCCUAUUUGACAGAAUGAGACCCCUCUUAGAUGUCAAUUCCUUCAUAGAAGCAGUUAAUGCAUUAAUAGCAUUAAUUACUACAUUAUGUUUCGCCUUGCAGUCUUGACAUUUGCAUGCAGAACAUUCGCUGGGAGAGGCAAAAUCUAUAUAACCGGUAUGAUCAUACUUAAAAUGUUUUUCUUUAAAUACUAUAAGAGGAGAAUCAUUAGCACUAGGGGUGUUCAUGGUUUGGUUAAAAAUCAAACCGAACCACGAACCAAACCAAACUGAUUGAAAAAACAACAUUUGGUUUGAUUUGGUUUGGUUUUAAAUUUUAAAAAUCGAUACUUAUGUGGUUUGGUUUUGGUUUUACUCUAAAAUAACUGACAAAGUAACUAAACCAAACCGAUAUAUAUAUAUAUAUAUAUAUAUAUAUAUAUAUAUUAUUAAUAUAUUAUUCAUGAAUAAAAAAUAAAUAUUUUGUUACAUUUUAAAUUUUAAUCAUGAAUUAACUUUAACCAUAACACUUUUAGUCAUAUGUCUCCAUCUAGUUGAUAGUAAAUUAUAAAGUUAUAAAUGAUUUUCGCACUUUGAAUAACAAAUGAUACUAUUUGUGAAAAUUAUCUUGUUGUCUAGGGAAUUUUACAGCUGAAUUUAAUUAGAUUAUAAAUAAUCACUAAUUUUGAACUUUAAUAAUCACUAAUUUUGAACUUUCUUUUUGGUUCCUAGUGAGGAAAAAAUUUUAUGUGUUCACCUUUUGGGAAAUUUAUUAUAUCGUUCUCUUAUAUGUAGUUUCAAAAUAAUUUUUGUAGAAGCAUUCAUAUGGUGUUGUACGUGGUUUUGCCUGAAUAUAAUAUUAAAUUAACAUCUUAGUUUCAAGAUUAGGGCACAACACUAUGUUUGAUUGGAUUUGUUUUUACAAAAUUUUAACUUUAUCAUUAGUUAAAGUUAUAAACCAAAAAAACCGAAUCAAACCGAACUAAACCGACAAGAACCAAACUGACGGUUAUUUUCUUGUGUUGGUUUGGUUUGAUUUUUGAAAUUUAAAAACCGAGUAAGUUGGUUUGGUUAUGAUUUUAACCAAUAACCAACCCAAACCGACCCAUGAACACCCACCACUACCACCACCAACAGCUCCAUCACUACUAAGACCAUCAAUAACAACAAACUCACCCUCCAAAAUUAUUUUUCUUGUAAUUGCUGUUGCUCCAAAUAAUUUUAUUUUUAUUCUGUCGAUGACCUUAGGGUCCAAUAAAAUUUGAACAGACCAGAAAGUAAGAAAAAAUGGCAUCUUCAACUCUCAAUUGGGAACUAGAGACGGAUGAACAAUCUAACAUAAAUCAUUACAUAUAUUAGAAUGAUGAUUAGAUAUUCAAAAAAAAUUAUUAAUUAAAAAAAAUUAAUUAUAAUUAUAGUUACUGCAUUCUUCGGGGGUUGAAGAGAUCAAAAAAUUUUGCAUUUUUAUCAGUUUUGGACGACAACCAUCUCAAGAUUCUUGGACAGGAAACUCCUUCCUGGUAGUUCACUUGCUGUCUCAAAUAAGGAAUGACUUCAAAUGCCCAAGCCUAUAAAAUAACGCCAAUAAAUAAAAACCAUUAUUGAAUAAAAAAAUGAAUGAUAUCAUAAUAGAAGAAAAAACAUUUACCAUAAAAGUCAAUGGGAAGCCAUAUAAGUUGACUGUCUUUGGCGCUAAAGGAGUCAACAAAUAUUUGACAGUCAUUUUGAAGCUUUCAUAACCCCAAGAAUAGCUGUUAAACGCCUCAAGAUCCUCGGAGAGAUUUAUUAAACUGAGGCUUAUGUUGUUGUUAACGUCUCUCGCCCAAAGAAUAUUAUGUACAAACCAAACAAAGCCCAAUGACUGCUUAUGCUUCUUUGAAAGUCCUUUUCCUUUCAACGCUUCUAUAAAAAUUUUUGUUUUUGAAGCUUGGACCAACAAUGGAAACCAGGUCAUCACGAUCACAUGACUUUUCUUUGUCUUUUUUGGGUGUGCGGGGUGUUUUUUUUGUUAGAAUAGGUAUAACUUGAGAAGGAGUAUAAUAUUUUAGUCAAGUAACUAUGGCAAACUCCUUCCAACCAAAACAAAUAGGCAUGCCACAGUAAUUUAUCCACACCUCAUCCAUCUUAUCUUUGUUUUCAUACAUAAACCUACGCUUGAGAAGUUCAUAUACCAUUUUCAUUUGGAAACGAGCAUUGUUGUCCUCCGGCAAAUCAAGAUAUUUCUCAAAGCAGCUAUCCCUGAAAUAAGCAUUCAAUUUUUGUUCUCAAAGUAUUUUUCUGAAAGCGUCGAAAGAUUUUUCCAUGACUGACUUAACCACGAAAUCACCCGUUAAAUUUGUGACACCAUCGCACUACAUUCUCAUAGAAUAACGACCAAUGCUGAAGGCUUUGACCAACUCUUCGGUGGAAGGGCUAUUUGUAUUUGCAUCAUCUCUUUUGAAAUAUUCAUCCUCCCCGUGUUCAUCAAAUACUGCUUCCGAUUGAGAUAACGCUUGUAAAGCAAGCUCAUAGAGUGGUGGAUGUAGCCUAGAUGUUUCACUUGUUCCUUUACUUGGAAUUGAUUUGGUUUCUGUUCUUUUGGGAACUAUAUUAUCUUAAAUUAACAGGAACAUAAAAAAAAUAUAUUAUAGUUGAUUAAUGCAUCGUUUAAAAAAGGAUAGCAAUUAAUCAAACAAGCAAAAUAGUAAAAUAACAGUUGCAAUAGAUCACUGAUCUGUUGCACCGGGUAGUAUAUCUAUUACAGCAUAUAACCAACCUGUUGCAGCGAAUGAGUAAUCUGUUGCAAUAAUACAAAGCAUAUCAUUCAUCUUUUAAGACAGAUGAGUGGUCUGUGCAAUAGAUCACACAUUAUUGCGAUAAUUCAUCUGUUGAGAAAUAUGAAUGGUCUGUACAACAGGUCACACAUCUGUUGCAACACACGAGUGAUCUGUUGGAACAGUUAUGUAGCACCCCACAUUUUGGGCUAGAAUGAAAACCGUUAUUUCUAUGCUUAGAUGAUCCAAAAGCCUUAAAUCCUACGCAAAUUUGGCAUGUUAAUCAAUUAUGGAGUGUGGGAACCUAUUUGAGCAUGAAUUGAGAUCAUAGAUGUCCCCCAACUCAAGGACGAGUUGAAAGCUUUCCUAUCGUUUGAGUUGAGUGAGUGUUAAAACUUGGGUCAACUUCAAUCGAUCAUAACUCUUUAUAUAUAAAUAAUUACAGGGCCUACUAUAUAUCAAAUGAAAUCUCUUCAAAUUAUCUUUCCAAUAAUAUCAAUUUUUCCAAAAUCUGAUACCUGAGCAAAAAGUUAUGGCCAUUUUCAUUAGAGACAGUAAGCUAGGGUGAUAAACAAGGUGGCGCGCUGCCUAUUCCUGCCAGUGUAAUUUCCUGCAGUCAAGCUUCACGUUCAAGAGGGGUAUUUGGGUCAUUUCCACCCUUAAACAACCCCAAUAACACGAGAUUCAGCCUCUAAUAACCAAAUUAUACCCUCAUUCUCUCAAAUUCUCUCAAGAACACUUCUUAGGAUUUUAACCCAAAGAUCAAAAUAUCUUAAGAUUUUACCGUGGGUUUUCAAUAAUUCUUCGAGAUUCAAAAUUUCUAUUGCGAGGGCUACAAGAAGCAUCCAUCAAUUGUUCGAAUAGCAUCCCUAAAGCACAACUUCAUUCAAGAGUCAUAAAUUAAGGUACGUGGGGUUUUUCUAAAAAUUCAUGGGCAAAGAAACCUUCUUUAAUUCAAGCUAAAGGUUUAUAAAUCAUUAUUUUUUCGAAAAGGGUUUGAAUUUUACUAUUACUAGCAUGUUUUAAAAUCCUUGAUUAAUAUUUUUUUGGUCUUUAGGCCUUCCCCUUAAGUGAUUUGAAAUCUUACAUAUAUAUAUGUAUGUGUUUUAAGUUGAUAUUUGAAUUGAGAGCAUGACUCACAUGAAAUUCCUCUCUUGAUAUAAUUUAUCUCAUUUUUCAUAUGAUAUGGAUUGUUUUGAAAUGCAUCUUGAAAACAUGAUACAGAAUGUAUUGAUUUAUACUAUGACUUGAAUAUGAUUUUAGAAUCAAUAGACAAGGUUGUGCAUGUUGAUAAAUAUUGAAUAUUCAUAUAAUGAAAGGGUUGCAUGGUUUUGCCAAAAGCACAUAACCACCAUAUGUUUGAAGAAUUCUUGCAUAGUUUUGACUUAUGUUUUAGAACAUGAAAUCUCUUAUACUAUUUGCAUGUUUGGGUGGUCUGGAUUGAGUUUUAAUGAAAAAAUCAUGCAUAAUAUAUUAUGGCUCAGAAAUAGGACUUACAAGUCUUAGUGUGACGACUCCAACUCAGAUAAUGCCAUGGUAAUUCAGAACAGAAUAGAAUGCAUGUUUGAAAUUACAUUUUUAGAUUUUGAAACUAGAAUGAUGCAUGUUUCAGAACAGGCUAAAAUUAGGCAUAAAGAGAGCUUAGGUGGUUUCCCAAAUAAGGCAUGAGUUCAGACAACUCAUUGCCUAAAAUCAUGUUUUGCCAAUACGGGUAUAUUAUUGUAUACUAGCGACGACCCCGUGGCUUAGUAGAUUUAGAGACUCCAACCCUUGCAAAAAACUUAGGUUGGGGGAUUCAUCGCCAAGUCAAUUGCGGAUUCCAUAUAGCCCGUGGAAUAUCAGAUGUGUAGGGUAGUGCCACCUAACUCAGCAAAGAUCAGAAAUUGCAUUGACAGAAAAGUUUUAUGAUUAUAAAAAAUGCCCAUGUGUUUUGAAAUGAUAUAUUUCGUGAUGAUUAUGACAAUCUCUCAACUAUUUUAUUUAUAUACAAGAUUUAUUUUGGAUUUCUUCUCGUACCAGUACAUUUGUAUUGACCCCCUUUCUCCCAGGGUUUAAAGCUCAGUUCAGAGGUUCUGCAAGGCCGUAGAGUUUUCAGACAACAGUGAUAUGUGCAGUUGGUGAGCCUUCUUUAUUUCAGAUGGCCUAUGUCUUUCAGAUUAUGUUAUUUAUUUUGGUUUAGGUCCACUGGAGGCCUUGUCCCAGUUUCAGACAGUUGUCAUUUUCAUAUGUAGUAAAGAUUUCGCAGACUGGUUCAGAUGUUGUGUAGUUGAUAUUGGAUUUCAUUUUUCAUAGUUUAAUUAAACUCAGAGUAUGACCAUGUUUCUGUAAUGAUUUACAAUUUUGCAUCUUCUAUUAUAAUUUAUGAAUAUUGUGCAUGAUUACUAGAUAGAGAAGGGCGCCCGGGCCUUCAUGGUUUGGGAUGCUCGUCACGGCCAGAGCCCGAUUUGGGUCAUGACAAGUUAUCAACGGUCAAUAUUGUUUAGAUUUCUUUCAACAUAGGGUCGUCUAUCAAGGCAGAUGAAUGAUUAGUUGGAAAAAUCAAGUCUUGGAUAUUUUCUGUUGGAAGAGUUGAUAGGAUUUUAUCCAAUAGGAGGUUUAUUUGUUGCAUCAGAUCAUUAAUCUGAUGGUUCUUCCAUUGCAUUAGAUGGUUAAUUAGUUGCAUCAGAUUUUCAUCCGAUGCUCAAUUUGUUGCAACAUAUGGUUAAUCUGUUGCAUCAGAUAGUUAAUCCGUUGCAUCAAAAUUAUAACCUGAUAGUUCCUCUGGUGCAUCAGAUGGUUGAUCUGUUGCAUCAUAUGAUAAAUAUGUUGCAUCAGAUAGUUAAUAUGUUACACCAGAUGGAUAAUUUGUUGGACAAAAUACAAAACAGUAGCACGAUUUUGUUCAACAAAAAACAACAAUUUCACCAUUUUUACCAAGAACAAGAAUAGAACAAAUCAAUCCAAAUUGUUGUUUUGUUUUUAUAAACACAAACAACAAAAAUCAAACUUCAAAAAAAUGUAACAAACAACAAAAAAAAUCAUAAUUCACUUCGAAAAGAGAAGAGAAGAAAUAUCAAAAAUUAGAGUUUUAUUCGGACCGCAUUUCAUAUCAGAAUAAGUUCCUCGUUUUCUUCAAAACUAAAAAGGCCAUAAAUUUUUACCUGUGAAAGAAGAAAAGGAAUGAUGAAGAAUUCAAAGUUGUUGUUGCCGGAGAGCAAGGCUGUCACGUCGAUUGAAGGUUGAAGUUGAAAAGAAACUCGUAGCCCAACUAUUUGUGGUCGGAUGUUGAAGUCGCCGAGGAUUGAAAUGAGAAAUUUGCAGAACAGUUGGUUGAGAGAGAGUUGAGAGAAACUGUCAAGAGUGGGAUGAGAGACAUGUUGAUUUGAAUUGAAAAGGGGAACUCGAAGCCCAACUAUUUGUCACCGGAGGUAGAAAUCACCGGGGUUGAAGGGAGAAAUUUUGUAGAACUUUCGGUUAGAAGAGAGUUGAGAGAAGCUGUCGAGAGAGAUGAGAGAGUGGUUGAUUUGGAUCGAAGAGGGGUGUGGGUUGGGUUGAUUUGUAUUUUUGAAAAGAUUAGAAAGUUUUGAAAAUAUUAAUCAAGUCCACAAUUAACUUAAUCAAGUUUUCUAAUGAUGUUUGACCCUUUAAGUUGGUCAAUGUCCCCAAUCCUUCAUUCAAGACUUAAAAGACACAUUUCCUUCAAUUUUUCCGUAUAACUUGAAGAAUAAAAUAACCUAUUUAAAAAAAAUAGAUUGUACAAUUUUUUUUACAUCAUCAAUAUAUAUGGAUUAAAUCAAUUAAAUAAUAUGUAUAGUAGUAGUUAAUUAGGAAAAGCAAAGGGCGGCAGUAUAUAUAAUUUAGUGGAAGUGCCAAAGGGAUAUCCUUUGGAAGAUGCUUAACUUGCUUUCUUUUGUUCUUCACUUUACCCAAAAGUGACCACACAUUCACUCAAGUCAAUUCACUCUUUUGUUGCCCACCUGACCAACAACAAAAUAAAAUUAUUAGCAAAGAGGCGGUUUCAAGAUUUAAAUUCAUAAUAUUUUUUAAAUUAUGGGUUUAUGAGUAUAUUGUUGUUUAGUUUGUUGAAAUUCUAAUGAAUUCCUACAUUAUCAAUUUAUGUUUCAGAUCGAAAUUAGUAUUAGAUUCGGAUGAAUCUAACGGUUUAAUAUUGUAUUUGUAGUUAUAAUAAAUACAUAUCCUUUUCCUAAAUUCUAUCAUUUCACAAUCAUAAAUUUAGUGGUAUAAUUUGGUAUAUAUAUUGAGUGUAAACUUUUCUUUUUCUACUAGCUAGUUAUCAAUACCAUGAUGUGGCAAGUAAGACUUGUUCAAAUAGUUGCGCACUUUUACUAUUAAUAGAUAUGUUAAGAUUUUGUGUCAUGAGUGGGAUGAAGAAAAAAAAAGCAACACCAUGAUAUGACAUGUGAGGCUUGCUUAAGUAGUUGAACAGCCAUCAACCCUCAUUCAUUCAGAUGAAUUGCUUUCAACGAAAAAUUAUACUAUUUUUGUAUGGUUAGAAAAAUAUUUUUUAUGUAUAUAUAAUAGAUGUUGAAUUCACUUCGAUUAGUUCAUAUAUUUACUUUUGAAUUUUCUAGCUCAAUAAAAAUCUUGAUCCAAUCUAUUUAUUAAUAUCUUAAGGAUUUGUUUCACUCAGAAGAAUAAGGGAGAACACUAUUGAUUCUCUCAUGAGUGGAAUGAAAAAACAAAAAAGACAACACCAUGAUGUCCACAUGCCUCUAUAAACAACAAGCCAAACCUUCCUAUUCAAACCCUCCACCCCAUCCCCUUCACUCUCUCUCUCUUUAGACUGUUCCUUUGUGUUUGAGUUCUUGAUCAUGAGCAGCUAGCCACCCCUUUGCCGUCAACUCGUGAUGGCAAAGGGGUGGCACGCGCGUAGCCCAAGACUCACUAUUGUUGUCUGGAGGGAGCUGCUGGUGAUUUUGUCUACUUUUAUCUUUGUCCCAAGGUAAGGAAAUUGCCAUUUUAUUCAAUUUUAUGGUGAUUUUCUAGUUAUGAAUAGGGCAACUUGUAUCCUUUGGCAUUUUCACUUCCCUUUGAGUACUCUCUUAAUGAGCUCUUGGAAGUUUUUAACUAUAGUAAAACAAUAAUUCAAGUAGGAUUUGUGUAGUCCUAUUUGUACUUUGUUGAACAUGUUUGGUGUAUUAAUAAAUGUUGUGUAGUACUUUGGGAAGAACUAGUUGAACAUGUAUUACUAGUAUAUAUUUGGCCAGUACUGGCUAUAAUAAUUAAAGUAUUGUUUUCUGUUAAUGUUUGAAGAGUGUUUAUUAUACAUUGUUGUUGACUUCGUACAUCAUGUUUUUGCGUAUAGAUGUUGCAAUAUAAUAUAAUCAAUAAAUAUUGAAGAGGAUAUGAAAUUUUUUAUUUAUUUUUUUAAAAUGUUUGAUAACUUCAAUUGUUACUUUCAUGCCUCGACGUGAUUGGAAAUGUAUAAAUAUUUUCGUGUGUUUAACAAUGAGGUUUGUUAAGCCAUGUUGGUCACUAUCAUAAUUUGUAGUUUGAUACUUAAUUAAGCUAAUUGCACUUUAUGUUGCAAAAUACCUUGGGUAUAAUAACUUGAAUGGAAUUAUCCUCUUAUCUUGUGAUUACAAGUGUAGAUUGUUCAUUUGUGCCAUUUUCUGACUAAGAGAUGCUGGAUCUUACUUUUUCUUAAAUGUAAUAAUUAUUACGUUGAGCCUUGAAGAAUAGACAAUCACUUGUUAUUACGUUAAAAAUAAAAAAUAAAAAAAUUCAAGAUAAAAUGAAAUGAAUCAAAAUAUAAUUAAGUUUAUAGCGUAUUGUGCAAACACGAUUAGAAAGUGAUUUAACCUGCGUGAUUAGUGGUGAAAGAGGGAUAGGUCCCUAGAAGGAUUUUAGGGAAUAGAAAGGACAAGUGAAUUAUAGAGCUAAUUAAGAUAAGAGGAAAUUAGAGAUUUUGCCCAUUGAGAUUGAGCAUGACGAGCCACAACUGAUCCAAUAUUGAGAUAAAAAAGGAAAAACUUCCUUAGAUUACAACCCCUCACCCCACGCACCCCACCCCCACAAUAUAUAUACACACAUUUUUUGUUUGUGUCAAGACGAAUUUUACACACAUAAUUUAAGCACUCUUUUUCACAGAGUUUGAUAGUCAUAAUGUUAUCAUGAUGUGCUGAAAUAAUGGAGACACAAAAGGUAAUAACAAGUGCUACAUGUACUUAGACUUAGAUUAGCACUACUUAAUACAUACUCCUUGAAUACUAGUAUUCUCUUUGUUUCUAUUUACUUGUCACCCUUCUAAGUUGCACAUGUAGUUAAAAAAUUAUUCAAUAAAAUUAUUCUUAUUUAUUACUCAUCUUUAUUUAAUGCUUUUUUUUUUUUUUAUAAUAUACUAAUAUCUCUUCAUAUUUAUUACAAAGGAUAAAAGUAAAAAAAAAUCGAUUGUGUCUUGAGUUUAUGAAAUGACUAGUAUAAGGAACAUCUAUUUUUAGCAUGCACGACAACUAAUUAGGAAAGGUGAGAGUAUCAAUUUAUGUGACACCAUUUGACUUGACAUAAAAAUUAAGAAAGAAAUGAAAUAUCUUAAAAUUUAUGAUCUAAAACAAGUCUUAGACAUUUAAAUAACUAUAAAUCAUAUCAUUGAAGAUAAAAGAGGUAUUUUGAAAUUAAAUUCUUUUUAAUUACAGAAAGACGG